ensembl:lncRNA
AGUGUCUCCUCUCCUUCGGGAGAACGGAAGGACGCCUGUGGCCUAUUGGAAAAAAAAAGUGUGCUAGUUACUCAGUAUGCAACUCUUUGAGACCCCAUGGACUGCAGCCCUCCAGGCCCCUCUGUCCAUGGGAUUUUUCAGACUCUUUACCCUCUGAGCCACCAGGGAAGCCCUACUGCUGUUGUCCUCCGAUUAAAAUCUUCUGGAAACACUGUUCAGCAAAGUAUGAUCUGGAAAACAUUGCACUCCACCGUUGUCAGUAAAAAUAGAAACAGUUUUUCCUUUGGAGUAUUCUGUUAAAGUUUUGGAAAAACAGCACCUGAUGUGCAGAAAUCAAGGAAUGAAGCCUCAAGAGCACAGUUUCCACUCAUUUCCUGGGCAGUACUGUUCUGAAAAGUCAUGACGGUCCCUUGGAAAUACCUGCAGCCUCUUAUUAGACCUAACUGCAGUCCAGAGCAGCUCCUCUCUGUGGAGUUGAUGAUGACAGCAAUGGUGACGAUGAUGAUUCCAUUUCUGUAUUAGUUUCCCGGGGAAGUCAUAAAAUAGUGCCGUAAACGUGGUGGCCAAAAACAGGACACAUUUAUUCGCUCAUCAUUUAGGUGCUGCAGAUUCUGAAAUCAAGGUGUCCACAGGCCCAUGCUUCCUCUGAAGAUUCGAAGGAAAGAAUCUUUUUCUUGCAUCUGCCUUGCUCCUGGUUGCUCUUGGGAAGGUAGUUCUUAGUCUAGAUGAGACAUUUUAAAUAUUGUGGUUGUUGUUUAGCUGCUCAGUGAUAUCCAACUUUUCUGCAACCACAUGGACUGUAUAGCCCUCCAGGGUCCUCUGUCCAUGGGAUUCUCCAGACAAGAAUACUGGAGAGGGUUGCCAUUUCCUGCUCCAGGGGAUCUUUCAGACCCAGGGAUUAAACCUACAUCUCCUGCAUUAGCAGGC